AGACCGAUAGCGAACAAGUAGAGUGAUCGAAAGAUGAAAAGCACUUUGAAAAGAGAGUUAAACAGCACGUGAAAUUGUUGAAAGGGAAGCGCUUGCGACCAGACUCGCCCGCGGGGUUCAGCCGGCAUUCGUGCCGGUGUACUUCCCCGUGGGCGGGCCAGCGUCGGUUUGGGCGGCCGGUCAAAGGCCCCUGGAAUGUAGUACCCUCCGGGGUACCUUAUAGCCAGGGGUCAAUCGGCCAACCUGGACCGAAGAACCGCUU
rnacentral:rRNA from 1 species